rnacentral:rRNA from 1 species
UACGGGGGGAGCGAGCAUUAUUCAAAAUGAUUAGGCGUAAAGAGUUUGUAGGUGGUUUUUUAAAUUGAAAAAAAAAAAUAAAGCUCAACUUUAUAAAUUUUUUCAAAACUGAAAAACUUGAGUAUAAAUAGAAGAUAAUAGAAUUUCUAUUGUAAGGAUAAAAUCUGUUGAUAAUAGAAAGAAUACCUAAGGCGAAAGCUAUUAUCUAGGUAUAUACUGACAUUGAGAAACGAAAGCUUGGGUAGCGAACGGG